UACGUAGGGUGCGAGCGUUGUCCGGAAUUAUUGGGCGUAAAGAGCUCGUAGGCGGCCUGUCGCGUCGGAUGUGAAAACUCGGGGCUUAACCCCGAGCCUGCAUUCGAUACGGGCAGGCUAGAGUUCGGCAGGGGAGACUGGAAUUCCUGGUGUAGCGGUGAAAUGCGCAGAUAUCAGGAAGAACACCAAUGGCGAAAGCAGCUCUCUGGGACGGUACUGACGCUGAGACGCGAAAGCGUGGGGAGCGAACAGG
rnacentral:rRNA from 1 species